AAAGGACCUUCUCAAGGCUCACUUUGGGAGGGGGAGUACAUACCUGCUUCCCCCACCCACGCUCCCCCAUGACCUACCCCAUGGGAUAUUUGAGUCUCCUCCCCUUUCCUUGAGCUCAAGCCCUGCUUGCUUUCUCCGCAACAAGGAGCGAAUGUUAUUUAAAAGGAGAUCAGGAGAUUUGCCUUAAAUAGGCAUGGAGUGCUGUGCCAGGGCCCGGUUGAGGGGCGGGAGAGGAGGCCAUCUGGGUGGAGGGGAGAAAGGAGUGGAGAUGAAAGAGAGAUCAACCUCCCAGAAGUGUGCAGAGCCCUUCACAGUUUACCAAGCACAGGCCCAGUCUGUGGGGAGAUGCCCAGUUUCCAGACCUUUGGCCCCUGCCCCCUGGCUGCCCCUGCCUGUCCUCCCAGCCCCAGCUUGUAACUGGACGCCCUCCUCACUCUGCACCUUCCCAGGUGAUGGUUUUGAAAUCUUAAGGAAAUGGAGUCUGGCCUGUGGCGUUUUGGGGACAGAGCUAGGGGGAAAGGAAGCAUCCCAUGUUUGGUCAUUUUUUCAAAGGCCCUGAACACCAGGGUGAGGCCUCAGAUACCUGGAUGCCCAUCCUGGAUCUGCCAUUUACAGCCACAUGACCUAGAGCCACCCACCUUCUGUAGCCUUGACUUCCUCUGUAAACUAGGUCUAAAGAUUCCACUGUAGACCUGGUGCAGUGGCCCACACCUGUAAUCCCAGCACUUUGGGAGGCUGAGGUAGGCAGAUCACCUGAGGCUGGGAAUUCAAGACCAGCCUGACCAACAUGGAGAAACCCCGUCUCUACUGAAAAUACAAAAUUAGCCGGGCGUGGUGGUGCAUGCCUGUAAUCCCAGGUACUCAGGAGGCUGAGGCAGGAGAAUUGCUUGAACCCAGGAGGGGGAGGUUGCAGUGAGCCGAGAUCGCACCAUUGCACUCCAGCCUGGGCAACAAGAGCGAAACUCUGUCUCAAAAAAAAAAAAAAAAAAAAAAAAAAUUCCACUGUAGAGUUGUUGAAGUCAAUUUCAUGAGAAGAUGGGCAGAAGAGAGAAGAGGGGUGAUUAUGCCCAAGUGCACUAACUGACUAGGACCCGGACCUCAUGUGUGUUGUGGGAGGCAGAGAGGGGAGAUUUCAUCCUCCCCUUCCCCAUGGUGGGUGGGCACAGCCCAGGUCAUCCUGGAGGCCAGACAGGAAGGAAGGCUUUGUGAAAGAAGGCAUUCAUUUACUCUGGGCUGCUGUGAAUUUUCUUUGUUAUUCCUCAGAGGCUGCUCAAGAGGGGGUUGACGGGGCGGUUGAAGGGGUGGCCCCUUCAGGUGACAAUAAUCAAGACAAAUAAAUAAGAGCUAACCUUGAGGGUUUGCUGCAUCCCUGGCCUGACUCCAGCUCUUCUGUCUUCCUAACUCCAUCCAUAGUUGAUUGGCUUUAUCCCCAUUUCACCAACGAUGAAACCAGAG
rnacentral:lncRNA from 1 species